rnacentral:tRNA from 1 species
AGCCCCGAGGUGUCAUCAUAUCGGAUUGCAAAUCCGAAGAAGCAGGCUAAUCCUUGCCGGGGCUU